CUCGCGUGAUGUCAGCAAUACCUAGGUAACCCUUGAAUAAACUACCCUUGUUGCUUUGGCGGGUCGCCUUUUAGGCCAGCGGCUUCGGCUGCUGCGUGCCCGCCAGAGGACCACAACUCUUGUUUUUAGUGAUGUCUGAGUACUAUAUAAUAGUUAAAACUUUCAACAACGGAUCUCUUGGUUCUGGCAUCGAUGAAGAACGCAGCGAAAUGCGAUAAGUAAUGUGAAUUGCAGAAUUCAGUGAAUCAUCGAAUCUUUGAACGCACAUUGCGCCCUUUGGUAUUCCGAAGGGCAUGCCUGUUCGAGCGUCAUUAUAACCACUCAAGCCUUCGCUUGGUAUUGGGGUUCGCGGUUCCGCGGCCUCUAAAAUCAGUGGCGGUGCCUGUCGGCUCUACGCGUAGUAAUACUCCUCGCGUCUGGGUCCGGUAGGUUGCUUGCCAACAACCCCCAAUUUU
rnacentral:rRNA from 1 species